CAGUAGCCACGGGAACACGGAGGGAGCUAGCGUUGUUCGGAAUUACUGGGCGUAAAGCGCGCGUAGGCGGUUACUCAAGUCAGAGGUGAAAGCCCGGGGCUCAACCCCGGAACUGCCUUUGAAACUAGGUGACUAGAAUCUUGGAGAGGUCAGUGGAAUUCCGAGUGUAGAGGUGAAAUUCGUAGAUAUUCGGAAGAACACCAGUGGCGAAGGCGACUGACUGGACAAGUAUUGACGCUGAGGUGCGAAAGCGUGGGGAGCAAACAGGAUUAGAUACCCCUGUAGUCCCUGUCUCUUAUAC
rnacentral:rRNA from 1 species